CAUAAUCGAAGAAGCGAAGUUCUUCUCUCCUCUGCGUGCGACGGCGACUUCCUAACCUUUGCGCUUCAUCUCGCUAGCUGAAACUGUCCGAGUGAUGGUAUGCAAUCAAUUCAUUCACUUUCUCCUCAUCAUUGAAGAUUUCUCGCCUCCCCCAUUAACCGAAGCUACUGUAUAUAGAUCUUUGAUUGCCUAAACUCCCAGGGUGAACCAAGUUUCUACCUGUUUGGAUUCAUUAUGUAUUGCAACCACAGCUGCGAGAGUGCUAAAGUAAGUUCUUCAAGGAAUUUUUCUAAUUUUUACAGUCCACCUUGGUCCAAGAUUCUACUUGGGCUCAUUGGCUCAAAACUUUGAAGCACCUGCUGAAGGAAGGUGCCAUCUGUAACUAAACGUAUUCAACUUCACACGAAGUAACGACCACUUCAGUUCAUUGACUCACCAGUUUCCCUUCGCUUCAACAACCAGACUAAAUUUGUCAGUCCCAUGGCGGUGGUGUUAAGAACACCGUGGAAAUUUCCAGAAGGACAACGGAUCUGAAGGGCGACAGAACUUUAACAGUGGCGUUUGGGAGAAGGCUACUCACAAGGAGGUGUACGGUUCCGACAUAUGCCUUGAGGCUGAAGGUCGUUUGACGACAGAAGUGAGACGCCUCACCAACAUUAUUCUCAGGCGGAUGAUUGUCAACGACUUGGAUAUGGAUGUUUUGGCUAAGGCGAGACUGGAAGGCUUUGAAGCUUGACAAAUGCUUAGGUUUCUCUCUACUGAUGGACUUUCAGCAUCGUUUAAACAUUGCAGUUGAAGACCAUACAGAAAGGAAGAAGACUUUGUUGAGUAAGGAUCUCGGAAAAGUUGGGUUAAAUCAAUUUUUUCUAAGGAACUUGAACCCUUUAUUUUUGAAGUGUUUGAUAUUAGAGAUGAGCAAUAUUUUUGAUUUUGCGGACAUGAGUUAGAUGGAAUAUGGUAACAUUUUUUCUGACA